AUGUGUACUCCUUGGAUCUCAGAAUGAGCUGAAGAUCAGUGUCCCAAGUGUGACAGGGUAAACUCCCAAGAAGGUCCAUUGAGAGCCUCAAACCAUGUGUCUCCCGGGAAGUGACCUGAGCAGAAGAAAGAGCCCAGAUAAAAGAAGGGGAAGAGAAACACAGAAGAGCUCCUCACAGGACCACAUCAUGGGAGCUGAGCUUCCUCAGAGCCUUGCUGCUUCUAAGAUCCAGGUAAUAUCUUACCUUCCAGCCCAUGGAGGAAGGCCCAGCAAUGACAGAGCCCUAUGAGAAAAGAGUGCCAGGAAUCCCCUGUGAAGAUUCAAAUCUUCCAUCAACCGUCUCUCUCCCAAAGGCAUCUGAUCCACAGAAGGAAGCCAGGUCUCCCAGAGGAUUGCAUCCUGGCUCCACGGAG
ensembl:lincRNA